CAGUCGCCGCGGGAAUACGGAGGGUGCAAGCGUUAAUCGGAAUUACUGGGCGUAAAGCGCACGCAGGCGGUCUGUCAAGUCGGAUGUGAAAUCCCCGGGCUCAACCUGGGAACUGCAUUCGAAACUGGCAGGCUAGAGUAUGGCAGAGGGGGGUGGAAUUCCGCGUGUAGCAGUGAAAUGCGUAGAUAUGCGGAGGAACACCGAUGGCGAAGGCAGCCCCCUGGGCCAAUACUGACGCUCAUGCACGAAAGCGUGGGGAGCAAACAGGAUUAGAUACCCGAGUAGUCCCUGUCUCUUAUAC
rnacentral:rRNA from 1 species